AUUCGGCCGGGCGCAGUCCAUUAAAGGACUGAGCCAGCCCAACCGUCCAAUAAAGGGGUAAUACCCCUAUCAUUUCCCAUUCUUCAUCAACCAAAUGCACCCCACAAGUUUUCUCGCUCAAGGGUUAUAAACCCUAGAAAAGCCACCCCUCCCCACACCCUCUCUCCUACGUCACGUUGCCGAAUAUGGCAAAGAUAAGGGCCUGCAUAGCUUUUGCAGCUGUGAACCAGAUCGAGAAUGGAAAGAGCAUUAAACGCUCUGUCAUUUCUCAACCAAUACUCCCAAAACUUAGCCCAAACACUGUAUUACCACCUCUUUUUCACUUUGCUUUUGAUUUACAACAGUCGAUUGACUGAGUUUUCUUAAUGGUAUUUGUUGUUAUUCGAUUUUGAACUCUCGACCCUCAUUGGUUCAGGAGGAAUCGAGCGGAUCGAUCAAUGGAAGCUUUAAUCUAGCCGUUUAAUUGUUGUUUGUGCCUAAUUUGAGCCGCACGAUGUUGAUUGUGAGGAACAAGUCCAAAAUCUUUACUUGUCUCACAUCGGUGAGAUUACGUUUUUGUUGCAAUUUAGGGUUCAAUAAAUAGAACCUCGUCCCCCCCCCCCCCCCCCCCCAUUUCCCAUUGAGGGAUAGACCUGAACACUAAAUAUUAUAUAUUCACCAAAAGAACGCGAAAAUACUUAGGGUUUUAGCAAUAUUGCUGAGACCUUUAAAUUUUUUGAGUUAAGUCUAAAUUUUAAGGUUUGUUUCUUCUGUUUUUUGUGUGUGGCUGAGCUUGGGUGGAGGAAAAAAGGUCUCCAAGUUCAUUCUCAAUAGCAGGCUGCACAAAAAAGUGGCCAACUACUUUUGUCCAUUGAUCGAGUCCGAUAAAGAGAAAGGGAAGCUAAUGUUUUCUUUGAAGGCCCAGCCAUAGGUGAAAAUGACUUGAACGCCCAACUAUGGGUGAAAAUUGUAACUGGUGGGCUUAGGGUAGCCAACCAGUCUAACUCCCUCUAUUUCUUUCAUUAUCUGUGUAUAUGAAUUUGUAAAAACACUUGAAAAACUAUUGAAACCCCUAUGCAUGUUUAGAACUUAGGAAAUAAUACUUAGUAGCUUAGGAAGUCGCUUAAACACUUUCAAAACUCAACUAAUAUAACUUUGGAUGAAAAUUGGAACUUAAUUCGAUUUCGAUGAAACUUUAAAAUUGGUGCGACAUUUCAUUAAGGUUAAAUGACUUCUUUUUUUAACAAUGAUUAAGUAGCGAACAAUUUGGACCCUCUGCCCCUUUUUUAGAACUUCAUCAUAAAGAUGGCAAUGUUUAAAUCGAUUUUGGGCCUGCAGCCCGUUAUGGAAAGUUUCAAACCGCUUAAUGGACUGUAAAAACUGAUUUAGGGCCAAGAAAAGGAGAGAAAAUGAGUUUAAAGAUAGUUGUGGAAACUAUGAAAAUGGUAAUGGACAUUCUUUAACUUGGACUGAAUUCUGAAAACUUGAGAAAAUUUUCCAGAAAAAUGAAGUACUUUGUGGUUCGGAUUUAAAUGAUUUUAGAAAGAGAAUUGAGACUGUUGGGCCCAAAAGCCCAAACAUUAUGGGCUGAAAAUGAAGAGAAAUUCACUUGGACCAAGUUUGAGGAAGAUGGACUCUGCACUGAAUUACGGAUUGACUUAAUAUGGGCUUCAAAUAAAUAAUUUGGACUUUAACAAAAAUUCCUAUUAUAUAUAUAUAUAUAUCGGAGAUAUACUCCGUAUUUUCUAUAUACGUAUAAUAAAACUCAUAAGUACUAAACCAUUUCA